GGAAUAUUGCACAAUGGGCGGAAGCCUGAUGCAGCGACGCCGCGUGAGGGAUGACGGCCUUCGGGUUGUAAACCUCUUUCAGUAGGGAAGAAGCGUAAGUGACGGUACCUGCAGAAGAAGCGCCGGCUAACUACGUGCCAGCAGCCGCGGUAAUACGUAGGGCGCAAGCGUUAUCCGGAAUUAUUGGGCGUAAAGAGCUCGUAGGCGGUUUGUCGCGUCUGCCGUGAAAGUCCGGGGCUCAACUCCGGAUCUGCGGUGGGUACGGGCAGACUAGAGUGAUGUAGGGGAGACUGGAAUUCCUGGUGUAGCGGUGAAAUGCGCAGAUAUCAGGAGGAACACCGAUGGCGAAGGCAGGUCUCUGGGCAUUAACUGACGCUGAGGAGCGAAAGCAUGGGGAGCGAACAGGAUUAGAUACCCCUG
rnacentral:rRNA from 1 species